rnacentral:rRNA from 1 species
AGAGUUUGAUCCUGGCUCAGAUUGAACGCUGGCGGCAUGGCUAAAACAUGCAAGUCGAACGAGCCCUUCGGGGCGAGUGGCGAAAGGGCGAGUAACGCGAUCGAACGUAUCCCGAGGUGAGGGAUAGCCUAUGGAAACGCAGGGUAAUACCUCAUGUGCUCUACGGAGGAAAGGCUUGCUGCCUUGGGAGCGGCGAUCGUCCUAUCAGGUUGUUGGUGAGGUAACGGCUCACCAAGCCGAAGACGGGUAGCGGGUGUGAGAGCACGACCCGCCGCAUCGGGACUGAGACACUGCCCGGACUCCUACGGGAGGCUGCAGUAACGAAUCUUCCGCAAUGGGCGAAAGCCUGACGGAGCAAUGCCGCGUGUGGGAUGAAGCUGCUACGCAGUGUAAACCACUGUCAGGGUCUCGCAACACUGAGCAGACCCAGAGGAAGGGCCGGCUAAACUCGUGCCAGCAGCCGCGGUAAUACGAGUGGCCCAAGCGUUAUUCGGAAUCACUGGGCUUAAAGCGUGCGCAGGCGGACCGGUAGGCAUCUCGUGAAAGCCCACGGC